rnacentral:lncRNA from 1 species
CCCCAGUGGAGAUAUUCAAGAACAUGUGUAUGCAAUCCUGUGCCAUGUGCUCUGGAAAGACCCUGCUUUUGAACAGGGAAGUAGGAUCACAUGACCCACUGUGGUCCCUUCCAACCUUAUCCGUUCUGUGAUUUGGAUCAAAUUCUGUCAGAAGUUUACCUGAAUACACAGAUUCCACUUUUUCUGGAGUGCUGCAAUGGAAAUCUGCUACAAUGGAACCAGUACUCUUGGGAACAACUUUGGCAUCAGUUAAAAUUCAGUGAUAAAUGAGAAAUGAAAUUCCUAUGGAAGUUAAUAAAAUCAGUGCUUAGCUUUUCA